rnacentral:rRNA from 1 species
GUGAGGAAUAUUGCGCAAUGGAGGCAACUCUGACGCAGCCAUGCCGCGUGCAGGAAGAAGGCGCUACGCGUUGUAAACUGCUUUUAACCGGGAAGAAACCCCAGGACGUGUCCUGGGUUGACGGUACCGGAGGAAUAAGCACCGGCUAACUUCGUGCCAGCAGCCGCGGUAAUACGAAGGGUGCAAGCGUUAUCCGGAUUCAUUGGGUUUAAAGGGUGCGUAGGCGGAGCGUUAAGUCAGUGGUGAAAUCCUGCAGCUUAACUGUAGACUUGCCAUUGAUACUGGCGCUCUUGAGUGCGCUUGAAGUGGGCGGAAUGUGCCGUGUAGCGGUGAAAUGCUUAGAUAUGGCACAGAACACCAAUUGCGAAGGCAGCUCACUAAGGCGAUACUGACGCUGAGGCACGAAAGCGUGGGGAUCGAACAGGAUUAGAAACCCUAGUAGUC